rnacentral:lncRNA from 1 species
AUGCCAUUAGAGACACUGUAUUCACGAACAUGAUACCUUUGCUGUGUUUCGGUUGAGAUCCUGACACCUCACUUCUGGUCAUUGUUCAUGUGGAAGGUCAUUGUUCAUUAUUUGAACUGGGAAAAGGGAUGGACUUGCAAGAAGAUUAGGAGGGUACCAUAACACAUUCCCUACAGUAAUUAGGGCUUCCCUUAACAAAGCCAAGGCUGGCACCUGGGUAGAUGUUCUUUGUUGAUUACGAAGUCUUAAUGUGGACUAGCUUCAGAAGCUUCUCAGAGCCAAACCGUCAUCUCUUUGCCUUUCUGCUACGAAGACCACACUCCCAUCCAGGCCACCCACCAGGUUCCAUUUGGUGGAACCCCCACCAAGGACACCUUUAGCUGUUGAUUGCUUUAUAGAAUAACCGGGCUGGAUGACAGCCCUGAGCAGUUUGCCAGUGUGGUCUAGUUUUCUAGGUUUCCCUGGUGAGUCAACAGGAAUGUAUCUACUUGUCUCUGGGAAUUGCAGUUCUACAUCAUCACCUAAAGUCUUCCAGAUUUUCCUGAAGAGAGGCAAAUGUAGAAACUGUGCCCCAGGAAUAUGCCAUGGACACAGGAGUUCUCUGACCUAUCACUGACUUUGUUCAGAGACUUCAAACAUCACCCUGGAAGACAGAUUAUCUCCACUACCAUCUUUCUUCAGUGUAAAACACAACUGAAAGCUGACUGUUGAAUUAACAUCGUGGUGAACAAGUGAACAGGACAGAAAGGGCUCCAAAUCUCCAGGAGCUGGUGAUCAACCAGGAAAGGGAAACAUUGACCGGACGGGAAAGCCACGAUUCACAGGUCAUCCUUACAAAGGAAGAUGUUUUAUUUCAUUUUGUGUGCCCUGUCAACGAGCACCUAUAUCACACAGCCGUGAUUCCAGAAAGGGGCCUUUGUUGAAUCUGUAUUUGGCUACACCAAUAGAAGAAAGCCAGUCAACAUCAUGUUGUGAUCGUCCCUGGCUCUUUUCUUCCGAGCUGUUUAUGAAGCAGGGAUCUCACAGGAAGCUGGGCUGUAAAGUUCUGGGCAGAGGUACAGAGCACUUUAACCUGUUACGUACCCCACCACUAAUUAGCCCUCUGAUGCUUUGUUUCUAAGAAGAAUGAGACUUGUUUCUCUGCCCUGUUGGGUCUUGCAGAAGAUGCUUUGAAGAUCCAACUGAACCUCUAAAUAAUGGAUUUCUAGACCUUAUGGGUCCCAGACAUCUUGUUCAAUGAGACUUAAAUACUUGCCUACAAAUUAGUAUUCUCGUCCCUCUUUAUGGACCAUGUUCUUAUUUGUACCUGGUUUUAAAAUUUUCAUUGUGGUAUCGUAGACUGUGUCUGAGAUCCAGUACUUGACUGACCCAAUGUUUCUCUUGGUGUUACGUGACUUUCUUGCCUUCAGGAUUUGUGAAACCAGUGUUUGGCGGCUGCUAGUCAUUUGACUCAUGAAACUUACCACUAACUGAAAUCUGCAUUUUUGCCUCUUCCUGUUCAUGUUUGAGUCGUUUUAUAAUGCUUCCUGAAAUACUUCACUUAAAAAAGAAGUCAAACAACAAGAACAAUAACAACAACAACAACAAAGCUCUUCCCAACUUGACACCAUUUGAAGCAGUUAGGUCCUUUCCUGAUGGGGCAGUUUGUGCUGCAUACAUUCAGGGCAGGAGAGAUAAAGGGCGUGUGGAAUCUGGAGGUGUGUCUCAAAAUCCAACAAGCAGUAGACCUUGUUAGUCAGGUCAGGAGAAAGUCGGAGGCUUUCCCUUUUAAUAAAUUAUUGUAGAUUAUAUAUGAA